rnacentral:rRNA from 1 species
UACAGAGGUCUCAAGCGUUGUUCGGAUUCAUUGGGCGUAAAGGGUGCGUAGGCGGCGCGGUAAGUCGGGUGUGAAAUCUCGGAGCUUAACUCCGAAACUGCAUUCGUAUACUGCCGUGCUUGAGGACUGGAGAGGAGACUGGAAUUUACGGUGUAGCGGUGGAAAUGCGUAGAUAUCGUAAGGAAGACCAGUGGCGAAGGCGGGUCUCUGGACAGUUCCUGGACGCUGAGGCACGAAGGUCAGGGGAGCAAACGGG